AUCCGGGUUGCGGACAGUGUCUGGUGGGUAGUUUGACUGGGGCGGUCUCCUCCUAAAGAGUAACGGAGGAGCACGAAGGUUGGCUAAUCCUGGUCGGACAUCAGGAGGUUAGUGCAAUGGCAUAAGCCAGCUUGACUGCGAGCGUGACGGCGCGAGCAGGUGCGAAAGCAGGUCAUAGUGAUCCGGUGGUUCUGAAUGGAAGGGCCAUCGCUCAACGGAUAAAAGGUACUCCGGGGAUAACAGGCUGAUACCGCCCAAGAGUUCAUAUCGACGGCGGUGUUUGGCACCUCGAUGUCGGCUCAUCACAUCCUGGGGCUGAAGUAGGUCCCAAGGGUAUGGCUGUUCGCCAUUUAAAGUGGUACGCGAGCUGGGUUUAGAACGUCGUGAGACAGUUCGGUCCCUAUCUGCCGUGGGCGCUGGAGAACUGAGGGGGGCUGCUCCUAGUACGAGAGGACCGGAGUGGACGCAUCACUGGUGUUCGGGUUGUCAUGCCAAUGGCACUGCCCGGUAGCUAAAUGCGGAAGAGAUAAGUGCUGAAA
rnacentral:rRNA from 1 species